GACGAACGCUGGCGGCGUGCUUAACACAUGCAAGUCGAACGGAAAGGCCCUGCUUUUGUGGGGUGCUCGAGUGGCGAACGGGUGAGUAACACGUGAGUAACCUGCCCUUGACUUUGGGAUAACUUCAGGAAACUGGGGCUAAUACCGGAUAGGAGCUCCUGCUGCAUGGUGGGGGUUGGAAAGUUUCGGCGGUUGGGGAUGGACUAGCGGCUUAUCAGCUUGUUGGUGGGGGAGUGGCUUACCAAGGCUUUGACGGGUAGCCGGCCUGGGAGGGGGACCGGCCACGUUGGGACUGAGAUACGGCCCAGACUCCUACGGGAGGCAGCAGUGGGGAAUAUUGCACAAUGGGCGGAAGCCUGAUGCAGCAACGCCGCGUGCGGGAUGACGGCCUUCGGGUUGUAAACCGCUUUCGCCUGUGACGAAGCGUGAGUGACGGUAAUGGGUAAAGAAGCACCGGCUAACUACGUG
rnacentral:rRNA from 1 species